rnacentral:rRNA from 1 species
GUGCCAGCAGCCGCGGUAAUACGUAGGGUGCAAGCGUUAUCCGGAAUCAUUGGGCGUAAAGCGUUCGUAGGCUGUUUUGUAAGUUCACCGUUAAAUCUGGUCGCUCAACGAUCAACACGUGGUGAAAACUACUUAACUAGAGUUUGGCAGGGGCAACUGGAAUUUCGCAUGUAGGGGUAAAAUCCGUUGAUAUGCGAAGGAACACCAAAAGCGAAGGCAGGUUGCUGGGCCAUUUCUGACGCUGAGGAACGAAAGCGUGGGGAGCAAACAGGAUUAGAUACCCUGGUAGUCCACGCCGUAAACGAUGGAUACUCGGUGUAUGAGGGAAUCGACCCCCUUAUGUACCCAA